GACUGGGGACGGUAGUUCCAGAAGAAGCGGGUCGAGAAUCCAAGGUCAACUCGUAAAUGUCCCUUGGGAAACCAUAAGUGCCAACGCAAAGCGCACUGACUUCGCUCUCGCUGCCUGAGCAGUGACCGAAGGGUCAGCCCGGACUUAGCCUUCGAUCCGGUUCCUGGCCUCAUUUAGAAGGCUUGCUCCACCGUCUAUGUCCUGGGGACGGUGGGGGACUUUUCCAGGGCUGGGCCCGGCUGUGACGUGUUGAUGCGAGUGCAGGGGCCGAGCAGACCGCCACAUCAACUGCACCCGGAGAAGUCUCAGGUCAUCCUUUGAGGACCGGGGUUCAAUUCCCCGCACCUCCACCU
rnacentral:tmRNA from 1 species